CAUGUCUUUUUGAUUAUAAUUUAAAGUCUGACCUGCCCUAUGAAUUUAUUUUUAAAUGGCUGCGGUACUUUGACCGUGCAAAGGUAGCAUAAUAAUUAGUUUUUUAAUUGGGAACUGGUAUGAAUGGUCGAACGAGAAAAAGACUGUCUCAAUUUAAUUUAAAUUAGAAUUUUAUCUUUAAGUAAGAAAGCUUAAAUAAUUUUAAAAGACGAGAAGACCCUAUAGAGUUUUAUAUAAUUAUAUAUUUUUAAAAAUUAAAGAAUUUCAAAUUUAAUUAUAUAUAAUUAUAUUUGGUUGGGGCAAUUAAAAAAUUAAAUAAAUUUUUUUUAAAUUUUAACAUUGAUAUAUGAUUAAGUGAUCCAUAUUUUAUGAUUAAAAGAUUAAAUUACCUUAGGGAUAACAGCGUAAUUUUUUUUGAGAGUUCUUAUCGAAAAAAAAGUUUGCGACC
rnacentral:rRNA from 1 species